rnacentral:rRNA from 1 species
GUAAGGAAUUUUGCGCAAUGGCCGCAAGGCUGACGCAGCAACGCCGCGUGGGUGAUGAAGGCCUUCGGGUCGUAAAGCCCUGUCAGGUGGGAAGAAAGGCUUGGAGAAGCAACGCUUUGAGUUUGACGGUACCACCAGAGGAAGCACCGGCUAACUCCGUGCCAGCAGCCGCGGUAAUACGGAGGGUGCGAGCGUUAUUCGGAAUUACUGGGCGUAAAGCGCGUGUAGGCGGGGAUGCAAGUCUGAUGUGAAAGCCCUGGGCUUAACCUGGGAAGUGCAUUGGAAACUGCAUUUCUUGAGUACUGGAGAGGAAGGGGGAAUUCCCGGUGUAGAGGUGAAAUUCGUAGAGAUCGGGAGGAAUACCAGUGGCGUAGGCGCCCUUCUGGACGGUAACUGACGCUGAGACGCGAAAGCGUGGGGAGCAAACAGGAUUAGAAACCCGUGUAGUCC